AUUGAACGCUGGCGGCAUGCCUUAUACAUGCAAGUCGAACGGUAACAGGCCGCAAGGUGCUGUCGAGUGGCGAAGGGGUGCGUAAUGCAUAGGAAUGUGUCCAGUCGCGGGGGAUAACUACUCGAAAGAGUAGCUCAUACCGCAUACGAUCUAAGGAUGAAAGCGGGGGACUGCAAGGCCUAGAGCGAUCGGAGCGGCCGCUGUCAGAUUAGGUAGUUUGUGGGGUAAAGGCUCACCAAGCGAACGAUUUGUAGCUGGUCUGAGAGGACGAACAGCCACACUGGGACUGGGGCACGGCCCAGACUCCUACGGGGAGCAAGAGGGGGGAAAUUUGGACAAAGGGGGCAAACCCGGUCCAACAAAGCCGCGUGCAGGGAGGAGGCCUUCGGGUUGGUAACUGCUUUUGUACAGGACGGAACAACUCUGGUUAAAACCCGGGGCUAAUGACGGUAACGUAAGAAUAAGGACCGGCUAACUACGGG
rnacentral:rRNA from 1 species